rnacentral:rRNA from 1 species
GACGAACCGUACGAACGUUAUUCGGAAUUGCUGGGCUUAAAGGGUGCGUAGGCUGUGCGGAAAGUUGGGCGUGAAAUACCUCAGCUUAACUGAGGAACUGCGUUCAAAACUACCGUGCUCGAGGGAGACAGAGGUAAGCGGAACUGAGGGUGGAGCGGUGAAAUGCGUUGAUAUCCUCAGGAACACCGGUGGCGAAAGCGGCUUACUGGGUCUCUUCUGACGCUGAUGCACGAAAGCUAGGGUAGCAAACGGG